UACGAAGGGGGCUAGCGUUGUUCGGAAUUACUGGGCGUAAAGGGCGCGUAGGCGGCCUUGUUAGUCGAGUGUGAAAGCCCUGGGCUUAACCCGGGAAGCGCGCUUGAUACUGCAGGGCUUGAGUGUGGGAGAGGUUGGUGGAAUUCCCAGUGUAGAGGUGAAAUUCGUAGAUAUUGGGAAGAACACCGGUGGCGAAGGCGACCAACUGGACCACAACUGACGCUGAGGCGCGAAAGCGUGGGGAGCAAACAGG
rnacentral:rRNA from 2 species